CUCUCUCUAAGGAACUCGGCAAAAUAACCUCGUAACUUCGGAAGAAGAGGUACCCUUGAAAGAGGGUUGCAAUAACCAGACCCUGGCGACUGUUUACCAAAAACACAGGUCUCCGCUAAUUCGUAAGAUUAUGUAUGGAGGCUGACGCCUGCCCAGUGCCGGAAGGUUAAAGAAGUUGGUCAGUCUUCGGAUGAAGCUAGCGACUGAAGCCCCGGUGAACGGCGGCCGUAACUAUAACGGUCCUAAGGUAGCGAAGUUCCUUGUCGGGUAAGUUCCGACCCGCACGAAAGGCGUAACGAUCAGGGUGCUGUCUCGGAGAGAGGCUCGGCGAAAUAGACAUGUCUGUGAAGAUGCGGACUACCUGCACCUGGACAGAAAGACCCUAUGAAGCUUUACUGUAUCUUGGAAUUGGGUUUGGGCCUUGUUUGCGCAGGAUAGGUGGGAGGCUUUGAAGAUACUCUUGCGGGAGUAUUGGAGCCAAUGGUGAGAUACCACUCUAGCAAGGCUAAAAUCCUAACUUUGAACCGUUAUCCGGUCGAAGAACAGUUUCAGGUGGGCAGUUUGACUGGGGCGGUCGCCUCCUAAAAGGUAACGGAGGCGUGCAAAGGUUCCCUCAGGCUGGUCGGACAUCAGUCGUAGAGUGUAAAGGCAUAAGGGAGCUUGACUGCGAGACCUACAAGUCGAGCAGAGACGAAAGUCGGCCUUAGUGAUCCGACGGUUCCGAGUGGAAGGGCCGUCGCUCAACGGAUAAAAGUUACUCUAAGGAUAACAGGCUGAUCUCCCCCAAGAGUUCAUAUCGACGGGGAGGUUUGGCACCUCGAUGUCGGCUCAUCGCAUCCUGGGGCGGUAGUACGUCCCAAGGGUUGGGCUGUUCGCCCAUGAAAGCGGUACGCGAGCUGGGUUCAGAACGUCGUGAGACAGUUCGGUCCAUAUCCGGUGCAGGCGUUAGAGUAUUGAGAGGAGUCUCCCUUAGUACGAGAGGACCGGGGAGAAUACACCGCUGGUGUACCAGUUAUCGUGCCAACGGUACACGCUGGGUAGCCAAGUGUAGAGUGGAUAACUGCUGAAAGCAUCUAAGUAGGAAGCCCACCUCAAGAUGAGUACUCUCACCGCUAUAAGCGGUUAAGAUCACGGGAAGAACACCCGUUAUAUAGGCACUAAGUGUAAGUACAGUAAUGUAUUCAGCUGAGGUGUACUAACAGAUCGAGGGC
rnacentral:rRNA from 1 species